CCUACGGGAGGCAGCAGUGGGGAAUUUUGGACAAUGGGCGCAAGCCUGAUCCAGCAAUGCCGCGUGCAGGAUGAAGGCCUUCGGGUUGUAAACUGCUUUUGUACGGAACGAAACGGUGAGCUCUAAUACAGUUUGCUAAUGACGGUACCGUAAGAAUAAGCACCGGCUAACUACGUGCCAGCAGCCGCGGUAAUACGUAGGGUGCGAGCGUUAAUCGGAAUUACUGGGCGUAAAGCGUGCGCAGGCGGUGAUGUAAGACAGAUGUGAAAUGCCCGGGCUCAACCUGGGACCUGCAUUUGUGACUGCAUCGCUAGAGUACGGUAGAGGGGGAUGGAAUUCCGCGUGUAGCAGUGAAAUGCGUAGAUAUGCGGAGGAACACCGAUGGCGAAGGCAAUCCCCUGGACCUGUACUGACGCUCAUGCACGAAAGCGUGGGGAGCAAACAGGAUUAGAUACCCUGGUAGUCCACGCCCUAAACGAUGUCAACUGGUUGUUGGGUCUUCACUGACUCAGUAACGAAGCUAACGCGUGAAGUUGACCGCCUGGGGGAGGUACGGCCGCGAGGUUAGUAACGUACGAAUAGAGUUAGUACGGCGUUGAGACGNGGCCGACGGACGACGACGAGGGAGGUAGG
rnacentral:rRNA from 1 species